GACCCGACUGCUAUCGGAUUAGGACUAAGCCAUGCGAGUUGAACGCUCUUUGACUAUGUUAAGAGCGUGGCAAACUGCUCAGUAACACGUUGCCAACCUACCCUAAAGAUAUGAAUAACCCCGGGAAACUGGGAUUAAUACGUUAUAAGUCAGGAAUCCUGGAAUGGAUCUUGACUAAAAGAAUUGAAGAGCAUGUUCCUCGGUUCGCUCUAGGAUGGGGCCGCGUCCGAUCAGGUUGUUGGUGGGGUAAAGGCCCACCAAGCCUAUAACCGGUACGGGCUUUGAGAGAAGUAGCCCGGAGAUGGACCCUGAGACACAGGUCCAGGCCCUACGGGGCGCAGCAGGCGCGAAAACUUCGCAAUGCGCGCAAGCGUGACGAGGCUAAUCCGAGUGUUACCUGCUGAAGGUAACUUUUGUUAAGUUUAAUUCGCUUAAAGAAAAAAGGGAGGGCAAGCCUGGUGUCAGCCGCCGCGGUAAUACCAGCUCCCUGAGUGGUCGGGGUGUUUAUUGGGCCUAAAGCAUCCGUAGCUUGUUUUAUGAGUCUUUCGUUAAAUCUGACGGCUUAACCGUUAGGCUGCGUAAGAUACCGUAAAACUAGGAGGCGGGAGAGGCUGAUGGUACUCCAAGGGUAGGGGUAAAAUCCACUGAUCCAUGGAAGACCACCAAUGGCGAAGGCGGUCAGCCAGAACGCGCUCGACGGUGAGGGAUGAAAGCUGGGGGAGCGAACCGGAUUAGAUACCCGGGUAGUCCCAGCUGUAAACGAUGCGAGCUAGGUGAUGGAGUGAUUAUGUAUUACUUCAGUGCCACAGGGAAGCCGUUAAGCUCGCCGCCUGGGGAGUACGAUCGCAAGAUUGAAACUUAAAGGAAUUGGCGGGGGAGCACCGCAAGGGGUGAAGCCUGCGGUUCAAUUGGAUUCAACGC
rnacentral:rRNA from 1 species